CAGUCGCCACGGUAAUACGUAGGGUGCAAGCGUUAAUCGGAAUUACUGGGCGUAAAGCGUGCGCAGGCGGUUAUAUAAGACAGAUGUGAAAUCCCCGGGCUCAACCUGGGAACUGCAUUUGUGACUGUAUAGCUAGAGUACGGCAGAGGGGGAUGGAAUUCCGCGUGUAGCAGUGAAAUGCGUAGAUAUGCGGAGGAACACCGAUGGCGAAGGCAAUCACCUGGGCCUGUACUGACGCUCAUGCACGAAAGCGUGGGGAGCAAACAGGAUUAGAUACCCGUGUAGUCCCUGUCUCUUAUAA
rnacentral:rRNA from 1 species